rnacentral:rRNA from 1 species
CCUACGGGAGGCAGCAGUAGGGAAUAUUGCUCAAUGGGGGAAACCCUGAAGCAGCGACGCCGCGUGGAGGAUGAAGGCUUUAGGAUUGUAAAGUUCUUUUGUGAGAGAAGAAAAUGACGGUAUCUCACGAAUAAGCUCCGGCUAACUCCGUGCCAGCAGCCGCGGUAAUACGGAGGGUGCCAGCGUUAUCCGGAAUCACUGGGCGUAAAGAGUGCGCAGGCGGGCUUGUAAGUCAGAUGUGAAAUCCUGCAGCUUAACUGCAGAACUGCAUUUGAAACUGGGAGGCUAGAGUGCGGGAGAGGUAGGUGGAAUUCGUGGUGUAGCGGUAAAAUGCGUAGAUAUCAAGAGGAACACUCAUUGCGAAGGCGGCCUACUGGAACAUUACUGACGCUGAUGCUCGAAAGCGUGGGGAGCAAACAGGAUUAGAUACCCGAGUAGUC